UACGGGGGGGGCUAGCGUUGUUCGGAAUUACUGGGCGUAAAGGGCUCGUAGGCGGCCAACUAAGUCAGACGUGAAAUCCCUCGGCUUAACCGGGGAACUGCGUCUGAUACUGGAUGGCUUGAGUUCGGGAGAGGGAUGCGGAAUUCCAGGUGUAGCGGUGAAAUGCGUAGAUAUCUGGAGGAACACCGGUGGCGAAGGCGGCAUCCUGGACCGACACUGACACUGAGGAGCGAAAGCCAGGGGAGCAAACGGG
rnacentral:rRNA from 1 species